GUGCCUUAGGGAUGAACAUGUCCCUCAUAUUCAAUCUAUCCAUUUUAAUCACUUUAUCAGCUUUGCUUUUAAUGCCUUGCUGAUCAUUAUGGAAUGGAAAAUUG